rnacentral:rRNA from 1 species
UACGAAGGGUGCAAGCGUUACUCGGAAUUACUGGGCGUAAAGCGUGCGUAGGUGGUUCGUUAAGUCUGUCGUGAAAGCCCCGGGCUCAACCUGGGAAUGGCGAUGGAUACUGGCGGGCUAGAGUGCGGUAGAGGAGAGUGGAAUUCCCGGUGUAGCAGUGAAAUGCGUAGAGAUCGGGAGGAACAUCAGUUGCGAAGGCGGCUCUCUGGACCAGCACUGACACUGAGGCACGAAAGCGUGGGGAG